ACUAAUUAUAACGAGCGACACGUGACGUUAUAUCCGUUCUUACAGGCCCUCUCCCUCACCAGGCCCCUCCCUUACCUUGCAGCGUCUCCCUUCUGCCCCUCGUCCCGACCACAGCCCAGCCAGCUCCUCCCCCACCCAGACCCCCGUAUUCGCCGACGACCACCCGAACCGCCCCAAAUCUUGUAGUCCAAAAUUCCAAUAGGUCCAUUAUUAGGCGAUGGGUCCACCGCGAUCUCUGAUUCUUCACCGGCUCGCGCCCUGCUUUGCAGCUCGAAUCAGGCAGAACCAGAGGCUUCUAUCCUCUUCUUUCUUCUAUUCCUCUUCCUCUUCCGCUGUCGAAGAAGCCUCUUCUUCUUCUCCAUCUCCGGCCCUCGACCUCGAUUCCGUUCACAUGACCGAUACCUGUGUUCAAAGAAUGAAACAGCUGCAAGCGAGUGAAGUUGAGGGAAAGAUGCUACGUUUGAGUGUAGAAACUGGUGGAUGUUCUGGGUUCCAAUAUGUUUUUGAUCUCGACGACAAACACCACCCAGAUGACAGAGUAUUUGAGAAGGAAGGAGUAAAGUUGCUGGUCGACAAUAUUUCAUAUGAUUUUGUGAAAGGAGCAACUGUUGAUUAUGUUGAGGAGCUGAUUCGCUCUGCUUUCCAAGUGACUACAAAUCCAAGUGCAGUCGGGGGGUGCAGUUGUAAAAGUUCUUUCAUGGUGAAAUAAUAGUUUUGCCACGACUUUUGUGCCCUGCCUUCCAAGGUAGCUUAAGACUAGGAGGUAAUUAGCUUUCUGACUUCAACAGUAGACGAAUGCUUGCGAGUUGCAACUUGAAAUUUGUUGGAUUAGCCGCCAUGCUACUUGUUACUUUUACUUGAGUUGGGAUUACAGUACAUUGCGGGGUUUCGAUGAUUGCCUAUUUUGAUGAUGUGUAGCCGCAUAGAUCAAUAGUUACUGAUUGUAAGGAAGUGAAGGUACUUCAAACUUCAUGUUUAAUUCUGAUGCCGAAGUGUCACUUAGUAUUACGAUUUAGUGGUAUUCCUCUUCACUUGUAA